GCAUGUUCUAUACACCAAAACUGCUUCAUUAAGCUAAAGUUGUUCAGGUGACUAUAGUGUCCCUUUAACUUUGUUACACCCCCUGCGCUGUAAAUCAGACAACCAGUCCUGUUACUUCCUGGUUGUUUAGCUCAGUGGUGAUAAACUCAAGAGACAUUCAAUUGCUCAGAGCACCUGCCUGUAAAGACUUCUCAUUGAGCUGCAUUGGGAAGUCUGUGAUUGGACAGUCAUAGAAAGCCUGGUUGGAGUUCGAAGGGGAGGACUUGCAAAGGCUGCAGGCAAGAUACCUGCAGAUUUUGCAUGAUGCAUUUAAAUAUACCUACAAUAAGAAGAAAAAAGAGUAAUUAAAUCUGUGCAUGUUUACAUCUGUGGUGUAUUUACUAAAC